rnacentral:miRNA from 12 species
UGCUUUCACCUGCAGAGCCUGCUGAGAGUGAAAUUGAUAAAGGACAGCACCAGCCCAGGCAAUUUUGCUCACAGCGGGCACUUGCAGGUGAAGCA